CUCAUUGGUCAGAAGCCCCCUCCCUCCGAGGUGGGGUGCUGAGAGCUUUACUGGAGGCUUCUGAUUGGCUCGGUCUCUGCCCUGGAAGCCCCUUCCUCCCCUUCCCGUCCCCCGCUCCUCCUCUGGGAGAGUGGAUUGAAGCAGAGCCUUCCCCUUUGGGAAAGAAGGUCCCUUUCUGAGCCGCUCUGGAGAGAGGCUGGUGGCGUGGGGCUCCCUCGGGCCAGCGGCAGUGCUUGUGCCCAUGGGGCUCCUCGGUCUGGUCCUGCUCUGGGUGCUGGCGGCAGCGACUUCAGGGAAAAGUCCAGACUUGCUGGUGGGGCAGGCGGCCUCCUGCAUGACUUCGUGCGCAGGGUCAGCUGAUCCCCACCUCCCCGUGGGCACCAGAUACACCUAUCACUUCUCCACCAACACCAGCACCGGCCUGCAGGGGGUCCAGGUGGAGGGGAGUGGUGUUGGCCUCCAAGGCUUGGUCACCCUCGAUGUGCUUGGCCCUUGCCAGAUGGCCUUACAGGUGAGUAUCUCUGGGUAACCAGGAG
rnacentral:lncRNA from 1 species